rnacentral:rRNA from 1 species
UACAGAGGCCUCGAGCGUUAGGCGGAAUCACUGGGCUUAAAGCGUGUGUAGGCGGACUUCUAAGUGCCUUGUGAAAUCCCACGGCUCACCCGUGGAACGGCUGGGCAUACUGGGAGUCUUGAGCCACCUAGGGGCUGCCGGAACAAAUGGUGGAGCGGUGAAAUGCGUAGAUAUCAUUUGGAACGCCAAUGGUGAAAACAGGUAGCUGGGAGUGUGCUGACACUGAGACACGAAAGCCAGGGGAGCAAACGGG